GGGAUACUCAAGCCAGCUGGAAGAGUUCUCAUACAAUGGAAUAUUACUCAGCCUCAAAAAGGAAUGAAAUUCGGACAUGUGCUACAACAUGGAUGAACCUUGAAGACAUUUAGCUAAGUGAAGGACCAGAAGACCAUAAAGGUUUAGGAAUAAAAAUGAAACCCAGUACCCGCAGCAAUAAAAGUCUCAAGGUCCAUCCAGUGAUACAACCCAGAGACAAAAGCAAGUGAAAAGAAGACAACUCUCUACCGGAAACUGAGUUCUUGUGAAGAAGUACAGAUCAACCUCCAUACGCUAUUACAUCCCUAACGCAGCUCACGCAGCUUCGGCCUGCAGCCAGCAAUCAACACGCUACAUUUUAGCAAUGCAAGUUGAGAAAAAGGAUUUACCUUG